ensembl:lncRNA FAM66D family with sequence similarity 66 member D
GGUCCUGCCUCCCGCGGCGGGCCGGGUCUCCAGGGAGGACCUGAGUUUUCUUCACCCAUUGUCAGGAAGGCGCCAUCGCCCUGGCUUUUGGGGCUGGGGCCUCCGGGGAGGUUCCGGUAGGGGCGUUGGAGAGGCCCGCUCUUUUUGCAAGGCCCGAGACGGCGGGCCCUGCGCAGGCCGCCCUAUUUCCGCGCGCCCUCAGGGCGUCAGUAUCAGCCUGAGGCUGGAUACCCCCGCUGGCCCCGGAUGCCCCCGCUGGGCCCGGAGCAUCCUCCGGCGCUGCCCUCCCAGAGCCACGCAGAGGCUGAGGUGGCGCGGGGGCGGCCCCGGCUCCGCGAGAAGCGGCGGCAGCGAGGGCUGGAGGACCCGGGCUGCGGGGCUCCGGGGCGUCUGGCCUGGGUGGGACUGAGCCCAUCCAGGGACUGGGACUCUGGGAUUCUGGUGUAGGUGGAUCCGGGGCAGGCUCAGGACCAAGUCCCUCUCCUUCCACCAAGGAGCGCCCAGAGGCCGGCGGGAGCUCCAGGUUCACCUCCUCCUCCUCCAGGAAAUCCCACUUCCAGCUAGAUGUCUGCAUGAACUACUGAAAGCUGCUGAGUGUCUUGCAGCAGGCCAUUUUCAAUCCAGAGGAAGACCUUCUAAAAGAGGUGAUGGAUGGGAGAGUGCUGACAUACUAUGUGAAGCUACUAUUUGGAGUUGGACACGAGUGCAUGUGACCUUGUGCCACAGCGGGAAUGUGAGCUGGGUGACAAAUGGAGAUUUGGACUUGUGAUAAUUGGCCUCUGUGUCAUUGUGUGGAAGACUGACUGGUCCCUUUAUUUCCUGUAGCUUGACUACCACACAAAUGAAUCCAUUCAAAUGUUGGCAAGUGGAGCAGAGUCCCAGGACAGCUACUUACACCAAGAUGAAGAUAAUUUAUUAGUUCAGGAAGAAUCUCCAUUCUGAAGGCAAAUAGAAGUUCCAGCUACAGAUGGGCAGACACAUGCCCUCUCAAUUCCUGAUGGACCUCCUUGUGCCUCCUGGACCUAAGGGGCCUCCCUCAAUGUUUCAAGAUGCCACCAAGGCAGGGAUCAGCUCGUGCAUUCCUGAGAACAUCCAGGAUGAAAUGAGGCUCUGGAAAAAUGCAAGAGUUUCCACAUAAUCCCAAAAAACCCUACAGGUGAACUGGAUGCCACAGAAAGAGGAGUGGUCUUUGACACAACAAAAUCAACAAAAUUAUUUCGAAGUCAAUUAGGAAACUCAGAAAUCACUCUUGCUGUCAUUAAGAGGAAGAACAGGAGCCUGUGAAUGGCAUCCCUGGCCUUCCCCAGACUCCACAGAUAUUUCUAUGUGGCUUCAGACAACAGAAAUCUCUGUGAUUUUCAGAAAGGCAGGGACAGCUCAUGCCAGCCCAUCCCUCUGCAGAAUGUGUCCCAGCAGAUCAGUGGCAUGGAACCAUCAUGGACAGCACAAAGGCUCAAGGGCAGCAUCCCAGGCCGGCCUGUGACUCUAGAUAAGUUCUGAGUCCCCAUGGGGGCUCAGGAAAGGUUAGUGAUGACCUGGAAAGAAGGGACUGGCUGAAACCUCCCCUAAGCAAUCUGCAGGAUUCCAACUUCAGCAGGAAGCCAAGGACCAGCUCGUACCACAACGGCUCCCCCUGAAAACGCUGGAUACAAUCCCACUCUGCAGAAAGUUCCACAUAGAAGUGGCUGGGAAUUUUGCCUUCUAGACUGCAUUUUACAGUGCCUCUGGACAUGUGAUGAGAAAGUUAACAUUGGUGUAUCUAGCUCUGACAUAUUUCACGAAGCGAUUUUUAAAAAUGUGGUAAAAAAGACAAAAUAUAAUUGAAACAUAUGCAUUAUAUGUCAGAGUAUGCUUCGCUGGCAUCAAGUAGACUCACCUUGAGAUACAAUCUUGGACAACCUCCAUCUUCAGAAUAUCUACUUUUUCAAAGAGAAACUCUCCAACCAAAAAUCAAUAACAUCAAAAGUUUGCAACUACAAGCCGACAGAAAAUAAAUACAGGAAUUCUACCACAGUGAAUUGGACCGCACUGGGAAACACAGAUGAAGAAAGUCAACACCGCUUUGUCCAUCAGUGCCUGGCUCCCUUUUCAGCUCGUCUUGAGACUCCAGGCAUUAUGCCUGAAAAGUCUCCCGGACGCCUGUGAGGCUCUAAUUCCCUGGGUCCCAUUGCCAUGUCUCUGGAUUUGCGAAGAUCCACCUGACCAUCUGUGGAACUCCCGUGUCCCUAUACUUUUGUGCCACGGCCCCUAAUUCUGCCCAUGGUCAUCUGCACCUGCACGACUUAGGGUCCAUGUUCCUUGGACAGGAAGAGACAGGCAGGAGUCGGAAUGAUGAACCAGCACACUGGGGCGUUUUCUCAUGUAGCCCAAGUGACCCCAUGAUCUUCUCGGGCUUUGGAACCAGUCGCGUCCCCUUUGACACUGCACCCGGCUCCCAGUCUCUCAAUCUUGUUGGCCCUCCGCCGAUCUCCCGUUGCAUGAAUUGCACCUGCUAAAACUCGAGUCCCCUUUGAUUUGCGCUUCAUUAAUUAUUCAUGAUUCAGGUUGGAAGGCCUGCUGACGACCCCCUGUGGCUCGUCGUUCUCUGAGCUUUCCUGUCACAUCGUUUCCUUCCACGCUCUUUGGUUCCUUAUGGUCCUGCUCCUUCUGCUGUCAGAGGAGCAGAGAGUUGAUCUUAUUGAUUCUGGAUACGGAUACUUUCUAGGUGAUCUGGAUAAUCAAGAUAACGACCCUCAACAGCGGCGGAAAGGGAGCAGCCAGUUGGUGUGUCUCAGAAAAUCCCGCUGAGUUCCGAGGCCUCCUAGAUGUGGAAUCCUGCUGAGAGUUGUUCCCAGGUCAGAGAAUGGAGAGAGCCUGUGCAUGAUGGGAUAUCCCUGCCUAGAUCUUUCAAUGAGUCUCUACCUCAGCUACUCUUAGGAUCAGGGGGAGAAGCAUGGAAAGGCCCGGUGUCAGACAUCCGGAACGACGUGAUGAAUGUUUUACCUCUGAAGUACAUCCCAAAUCUGGGAGUUAACUUCAGGUUUGCUGGGGUCUACUUGGCCAGUGAAACUCUGCCUGGUUCAUUCGCACAUCCGGAAGCCACUUCACGGGGGGCCGUCGCAACUGGAACCACACACUUGGCAUCGGCGGUUGAGCCAAAUGGGGACUCGUGGUGCAAGCAACGCUCCCCACGUGUUAGCGUGCGUGAGAUUCGGUUGGCGGAAUUUUACUAGGUGCGUGUUUGUAGAGUGGGGCUGAGGUUUUCUUGCUCCUGCGGAUGUAUAGGAAGUCAAAGCACCUGCCCAGCCCUGCGGUCCCCUCAGUCAACUCUGUUUCGGAGACAUAACGAUUUGGAUUGCUAACAGGUCAAGAAACUUUCAAGCCCUUGGAUGUAGGCAAAAGAAAGAGAGAUCAGACUGUCACUGUGUCUAUGUAGAAAGGGAAAACAAAGAGACUCCAUUUUGAAAAAGACCUGUACUUUAAACAAUUGCUUUGCUGAGAUGUUGUUCAUUUGUAGCUUUUCCCCAGCCGCUUUGCCCCAGCCGCUUUGACCCAACUUGGAGCUCACAAAAACCUGUGUUGUAUAAAAUCAAGGUUUAAGGGAUCUAGGGCCGUGCAGGACGUGCCUUGUUAACCAAAUGUUUACAAGCAGUAUACUUGGUAAAAGUCAUGGCCAUUCUCUAGUCUCAAUAAACCAGGGGCACAAUGCACCGUGGAAAGCCUCAGGGACCUCUGCCCUUGAAAGCAGGGUAUUGUCCAACGUUUCUCCCCAUGCGAUGGUCUGAAAUAUGGCCUCGUGGGAUGAGAAAGACCUGUCCCCCAGCCUGACACCGGUAAAGCGUCUGCGCUGAGGUGGAUUAGUAAAAGAGGAAAGCCUCUUGCAGUUGAGAUGGAGGAAGGCCACUGUCUCCUGCUUGCCCCUGGGAACUGAAUGUCUUGGUGUAAAACCCAAUCGUACAUUUGUUCAACUCUGAGCUCCGAGAAAAGCUGCCCUGUGGCGGGAGGCGAGACAUGUUGGCAGUAAUGCUGCCUUGUUAUUCUUUACUCCACUGAGAUGUUUGGGUGGAGAGAGACAUAAAUCUGGCCUACGUGCACGUCCAG